CAGCCGCCACGGUAAUACGAAGGGGGCUAGCGUUGUUCGGAAUUACUGGGCGUAAAGCGCACGUAGGCGGAUAUUUAAGUCAGGGGUGAAAUCCCAGAGCUCAACUCUGGAACUGCCUUUGAUACUGGGUAUCUGAGUAUGGAAGAGGUGAGUGGAAUUCCGAGUGUAGAGGUGAAAUUCGUAGAUAUUCGGAGGAACACCAGUGGCGAAGGCGGCUCACUGGUCCAUUACUGACGCUGAGGUGCGAAAGCGUGGGGAGCAAACAGGAUUAGAGACCCCCGUAGUCCCUGUCUCUUAUCCA
rnacentral:rRNA from 1 species